rnacentral:tRNA from 1 species
AGGGCAAUAGCUCUAACGGUAGAGCAUCGGAUUCCAAAUCCGCAGGUUGGGGGUUCGAAUCCCUCUUGCCCUGCCA